rnacentral:rRNA from 1 species
UGGGAAACAGGUUAAUAUUCCUGUACUUGGUGUUACUGCGAAGGGGGGACGGAGAAGGCUAUGUUGGCCGGGCGACGGUUGUCCCGGUUUAAGCGUGUAGGCUGGUUUUCCAGGCAAAUCCGGAAAACCAAGGCUGAGGCGUGAUGACGAGGCACUACGGUGCUGAAGCGACAAAUGCCCUGCUUCCAGGAAAAGCCUCUAAGCAUCAGGUAACAUCAAAUCGUACCCCAAACCGACACAGGUGGUCAGGUAGAGAAUACCAAGGCGCUUGAGAGAACUCGGGUGAAGGAACUAGGCAAAAUGGUGCCGUAACUUCGGGAGAAGGCACGCUGAUAUGUAGGUGAAGCGACUUGCUCGUGGAGCUGAAAUCAGUCGAAGAUACCAGCUGGCUGCAACUGUUUAUUAAAAACACAGCACUGUGCAAACACGAAAGUGGACGUAUACGGUGUGACGCCUGCCCGGUGCCGGAAGGUUAAUUGAUGGGGUUAGCGGUAACGCGAAGCUCUUGAUCGAAGCCCCGGUAAACGGCGGCCGUAACUAUAACGGUCCUAAGGUAGCGAAAUUCCUUGUCGGGUAAGUUCCGACCUGCACGAAUGGCGUAAUGAUGGCCAGGCUGUCUCCACCCGAGACUCAGUGAAAUUGAACUCGCUGUGAAGAUGCAGUGUACCCGCGGCAAGACGGAAAGACCCCGUGAACCUUUACUAUAGCUUGACACUGAACAUUGAGCCUUGAUGUGUAGGAUAGGUGGGAGGCUUUGAAGUGUGGACGCCAGUCUGCAUGGAGCCGACCUUGAAAUACCACCCUUUAAUGUUUGAUGUUCUAACGUUGGCCCGUAAUCCGGGUUGCGGACAGUGUCUGGUGGGUAGUUUGACUGGGGCGGUCUCCUCCUAAAGAGUAACGGAGGAGCACGAAGGUUGGCUAAUCCUGGUCGGACAUCAGGAGGUUAGUGCAAUGGCAUAAGCCAGCUUGACUGCGAGCGUGACGGCGCGAGCAGGUGCGAAAGCAGGUCAUAGUGAUCCGGUGGUUCUGAAUGGAAGGGCCAUCGCUCAACGGAUAAAAGGUACUCCGGGGAUAACAGGCUGAUACCGCCCAAGAGUUCAUAUCGACGGCGGUGUUUGGCACCUCGAUGUCGGCUCAUCACAUCCUGGGGCUGAAGUAGGUCCCAAGGGUAUGGCUGUUCGCCAUUUAAAGUGGUACGCGAGCUGGGUUUAGAACGUCGUGAGACAGUUCGGUCCCUAUCUGCCGUGGGCGCUGGAGAACUGAGGGGGGCUGCUCCUAGUACGAGAGGACCGGAGUGGACGCAUCACUGGUGUUCGGGUUGUCAUGCCAAUGGCACUGCCCGGUAGCUAAAUGCGGAAGAGAUAAGUGCUGAAAGCAUCUAAGCACGAAACUUGC